CACUGAGAAGCUUUUAUAGCAUUAACCUUUUAAGUUGAAGAAGAAAUUUGACUUUCCUUGGUGA
rnacentral:tRNA from 1 species